rnacentral:rRNA from 1 species
AUUGAACGCUGGCGGCAUGCCUUACACAUGCAAGUCGAACGGCAGCACGGGUGCUUGCACCUGGUGGCGCGUGGCGCACGGGUGAGUAAUACAUCGGAACAUGUCCUGUAGUGGGGGAUAGCCCGGCGAAAGCCGGAUUAAUACCGCAUACGAUCUACGGAUGAAAGCGGGGGCCCUUCGGGCCUCGCGCUAUAGGGUUGGCCGAUGGCUGAUUAGCUAGUUGGUGGGGUAAAGGCCUACCAAGGCGACGAUCAGUAGCUGGUCUGAGAGGACGACCAGCCACACUGGAACUGAGACACGGUCCAGACUCCUACGGGAGGCAGCAGUGGGGAAUUUUGGACAAUGGGCGAAAGCCUGAUCCAGCAAUGCCGCGUGUGUGAAGAAGGCCUUCGGGUUGUAAAGCACUUUUGGUCGGAAAGAAAUCCUGGGCCCUAAUACGGUCGGGGGAUGACGGUACCGGAAGAAUAAGCACCGGCUAACUACGUG